rnacentral:rRNA from 1 species
AGUGAACGCUGGCGGUAGGCCUAACACAUGCAAGUCGAACGGCAGCACAGGAGAGCUUGCUCUCUGGGUGGCGAGUGGCGGACGGGUGAGGAAUACAUCGGAAUCUACUCUGUCGUGGGGGAUAACGUAGGGAAACUUACGCUAAUACCGCAUACGACCUACGGGUGAAAGCAGGGGACCUUCGGGCCUUGCGCGAUUGAAUGAGCCGAUGUCGGAUUAGCUAGUUGGCGGGGUAAAGGCCCACCAAGGCGACGAUCCGUAGCUGGUCUGAGAGGAUGAUCAGCCGCACGGGAACUGAGACACGGUCCAGACGCCUACGGGAGGCAGCAGUGGGGAAUAUUGGACAAUGGGCGCAAGCCUGAUCCAGCCAUACCGCGUGGGUGAAGAAGGCCUUCGGGUUGUAAAGCCCUUUUGUUGGGAAAGAAAUCCAGCUGGCUAAUACCCGGUUGGGAUGACGGUACCCAAAGAAUAAGCACCGGCUAACUUCGUGCCAGCAGCCGCCGUAA